CUAUCAAAAUUCUGUGGCUGCUGAGGACUUCAUUUACUCCGAUGAUUGUGAGGGAGUGUACGAUGUUGCAGAUGAGGGUGAUGAUGAGGACAAUGACAUUGAUCAGAUGUGUGCCAAGUGACACAUUUUGAGUGCUAAAGAUGAUCCACCACCUGCAGAACCAAAUCCAGCAUGUUUGUAUGCCAAGUCCUGCAGACGUAAAAAAACACCAGAUCCAGGCCUCACCUGAUUUUAUUUUCACUUAAAUGCAAAACUGGAACACCUGCCUGUGAUGUUUAGUUCAGUCUGUGUCUCAUGAAAUUAAGGAAUUGUUAAUAAUUAGAAUGGAUGAAUGAAGAUGUUUCCUGAAAGUGCAGUGGCUGUCGAACAUCUGAACUUUACAUGAUUACAGUCCACCUUAACAGCGAUAUAGCAGGAGGUUGGAUAGAAUUCUUAUAAGGAUCCUUUCUUUGUCGCAGAAGGGCGAGAUUACCUUUCUCAUAUUUAA